rnacentral:rRNA from 1 species
AGCAGCCGCGGUAAUUCCAGCUCCAAUAGCGUAUAUUAAAGUUGUUGCAGUUAAAAAGCUCGUAGUUGAAUUUCGGGAUUAGUGCGCUGGUCAUGCCUUUGGUAUGUACUGGUGUUACUGAUUUCUACCUUCUGAAGAACCGUUAUGUCAUUUAUUUGGCGUGGCGGGGAAUCAGGACUGUUACUUUGAAAAAAUUAGAGUGUUUAAAGCAGGCUCGCGCUUGAAUACAUUAGCAUGGAAUAAUGAAAUAGGACGUUUGACCCUAUUUUGUUGGUUUCUAGGAUCGACGUAAUGAUUAAUAGGGAUAGUUGGGGGCAUUAGUAUUCAAUUGUCAGAGGUGAAAUUCUUGGAUUUAUUGAAGACUAACUACUGCGAAAGCAUUUGCCAAGGAUGUUUUCAUUAAUCAAGAACGAAAGUUAGGGGAUCGAAGACGAUCAGAUACCGUCGUAGUCUUAACCAUGAACUAUGCGACUAGGGAUCGGAUGAUGUUAAUUUUUAAUGACUCAUUCGGCGCUUAACC